rnacentral:ncRNA from 1 species
AUCUUCAGGGCAGGGUGAGAUUCCCUACCGGCGGUAAAGCCCGCGAGCCUUAAAAGGCAUGAUUCGGUGAAACUCCGAAGCCGACAGUAAAGUCUGGAUGAAAGAAGAUG